UUGAGAGCACCACAAGAAAGGGCAUUCGGCUACAAGAGAGAAAAAAAAAUAUUUUGGAGCUCAAAUCUUUAGUCCAAAAAUUCAUCCCUUGUUGAAUUAAUACUAAGCUCAAGGUCCUCUUCAAUGUGAUACAAAUUUGGAAGCAAAAGAGUACUUUUUUUACAAAGUGAAGAAUUUGGAAAAGAUAUUGGAGAGCCCGAGACUUGAGUCGGGAUUUGUUUGGCAAGUGAUCGAGAUUUGGUAGUGAGCGAUCGAGGUACGGACGUUCGUUUUGGUGAUCCUCCAGUAUAGGAUACAUAUUCUGCCACUUGGACCACUCCUUUUGAUUCAGAGCUCAUAUUUUUGGUACAUAUCUUCUGUUAUAUAUAUUCUUUAUAUAUUUGACUAUUUGGGUACGGCGGGGCCCUGACCCGUCAUAUGUUCUGUUAUGUUUUGUAGAGGCCUGUAGUCAUAUGUGUGGGUCAUGGGUCAUGUUUGUUCGUUUGUGAUUAUG